GCAGACACAUUCCAGCCAAUCAGCAGCAGACCCUCCCUCCCAGACCCUCCCACCUCCUGGACAGCAUCCAUUGUGAAGCUGCAUUCUUAGUGAGCUGUCAAGGAGGUGGGAGGGUAUGGGAGGGAGGGUCUGCUGCUGAUUGGCUGGAAUGUGUCUG
rnacentral:miRNA from 1 species